rnacentral:lncRNA from 14 species
CAUCUUUCUUCCUGUGUGCAAAAUUGAGAAGUUCUGUCAAGGAAGUUAAUGAGUGAAGUGGACAAGAGAGACCUAAAGGAAACUCAAGCUGAGCUUCAAGUCCUUGCAGGGUGCUGGCAUUUGUCACCUCCAAGGACAGGAGAGGGGACCACACCAUGUGGCAGAUCUCUGCUCUGCUCUUCCUCUUCCUCCCAGGCUACUCCACUGCUCAAGAUUUACUCAUAGGACCAGAGAAAGUGAGUGGUCAGGAGCAGGGCUCCCUGACCGCGCGGUGCCAAUAUGCCUCACACUGGAAGGAUUACAGCAAGUACUGGUGCCGAGGAUCUAGUUGGCAUCUCUGUGGGAUCCUCGUUGAAACCGAUGCAUCAGAGCGGUUGGUGAAGAAGAACCGUGUGUCCAUCAGGGACAACCAGACACACUUCAUCUUCACAGUGACCAUGGAGGACCUGAGGAUGAGCGAUGCUGACAUUUACUGGUGUGGAAUUACAAAAGUUGGAUAUGAUCUUAUGUCUAAAAUUCAUUUGAGCAUUGACCCAGGUAAGAGAAAAAUUCCAGAAAAUCCUGUUGAAGGAUCAGGGAACCUUGUGAAAAUAACUGUUACUAGAAAAAAAUAAGCUGAGUCAGCUCUAUGUGUCCUGCUAUUUACUGAGAUAGAGACAGAGCUGGGGAAGCCUUGUCUCCUUGUAUGUGCGCCUCAGAUAUUCCAACUCCUGCAGAUCUGCACCUCAGUGUCCCACUCAGGGGCAUCUCGAAACUGACUGAGGGUCGGGGGGUCUUAUCCCACCCUUGGAGUAGAUCAGUGAUCUCUGAUUUUGUGUUUUCCAGGCUACUCCACUGCUCAAGAUUUACUCAUAGGACCAGAGAAAGUGAGUGGUCAGGAGCAGGGCUCCCUGACCGCGCGGUGCCAAUAUGCCUCACACUGGAAGGAUUACAGCAAGUACUGGUGCCGAGGAUCUAGUUGGCAUCUCUGUGGGAUCCUCGUUGAAACCGAUGCAUCAGAGCGGUUGGUGAAGAAGAACCGUGUGUCCAUCAGGGACAACCAGACACACUUCAUCUUCACAGUGACCAUGGAGGACCUGAGGAUGAGCGAUGCUGACAUUUACUGGUGUGGAAUUACAAAAGUUGGAUAUGAUCUUAUGUCUAAAAUUCAUUUGAGCAUU